UUAAGAAUCUGAUGAAAAGGAGAAACAAAAAGAGACACACCACAAACGAGUUUCCCUGACUAAUAUGAGAGGAGCAGUAACUGCAUAAGGAGGAAGAAACAGGAGCAUCCAAAGACAGCCUGAGAGUCUUCAGUGCACCGUGAACAGCAGUCACCUCAGAGCAAGAGAGUCC